AGCAAAUGUUAGUAAACGCAGGAACUUUACCUUUUUAUAUUAUCAGAGUGAACUGGUUGUGUCCGCCGCCACCGCCUCUUCCUCUUCCACAAGGAGAUCCUCCAACUUCAACAAGCUAGCGACGACUUUCCUCCCAUUUUACCCAGCGUCAUAUUUCAAAAUUCCGACCUCUGCUUUUGGUAUAUUCACUGGCCCUCUUUGUACAGUUGGAAGGAAGGAGACGGGGAAAUUGGGAAAUAAUAAUAAUACAAGCCGAGUUAGUGCGUCGCUGACUGCGGGCUACUAUGGAGGAGUUCACCGUUCACUGAGGACAGUGGAAGAGACAGCAGCAGCAAGCAGGCGCUGUGAACGCCAGUGGUGGAGAGACCUUCGACUACAACAUGGAGAGGGAGAGAGAGCGCUAGAGAAGUACUACCCACUGACCUCCUGUUUCCGGCAUGCAAGCUCAUUGAUGCCUAUUGAAGAGCUACACGCUGUCUUUUUAACAUUAAGGUUGGUGCAAAAGUGUUAAGAUGAAAGGAAAACAGAAGGGACAGGUUUGAGUACCAAUAACACUGGACACAGUAUGCAGUCACCAGAUUUUUCCAUCACACCAGUCACUUCAUUAAGUACACAUGCACUUUAUGUUUGUUUUUUGUUUUUUUCACAAUUGAAAAUAUUUCAGUUAUUUAUUAGUAGAAAGAAUACCUGCAAGACAAAUUUUGAAAUGUAAUAAAAAUGUAUUACAUUACAUUAAUUACAUGGAAUACUAUAUUUGUUUUGUUGAAAUAUAAUUACAUUUGAUUCAGUUACAUUCAAUCAGAGCUACAUUACAAAAAGUCACAUUGCCAUGUCUCGCCCAACACACAAACAAAAGUAAAUAAAAGUUUGUUUGUGGAUGAUUGGGAUGAUUUCAAAUAUGUUACUGUGGUGCCCCAGGACUGUUUAUUGUUUUAAUUCAGUGAAUUGCUUGGUAAAAAUGUUUUUUUAAUAAAUACAUUUGUAUUAUUAUAUAGCCUUUCCAUUUGUUUUAAAUAAAAUUAAACCAAUUUGAACAAAAUAAUGCGUACUGUAUAUUAAAUACAAGGCUCACUUUAAAAUGUAAAAUGUGCUUUUAAGUUUUAGGACAUUCAUUAUAAUACAUAUUUUUUUCUUGAGUUUAAAUAAAAUUACAUUUGAUUCAAUAAAAUUAAGAAUUCACAAAUUUUGUAGAAUUAUGUGUUCCACUUGUUAAUUCAGAAAUCAAACUCAAUUACUAUAUAUGUAUUAUUUACCUAGAUUAAAUAUAAACAAACUAAAUGAAAUAAAGUAAUGAUUUUUGUAUCGCAACUGAUUAUUUUUUUAAUAAUGAAAAAAUAUUUUAAUCAUCAAUAAAAAAGAUCUAUAUUCAGUAUCUAUAUUAAAUGCAAUGUAAUUGAUUUUUCAAAUCCUAUUACAUUAAUUAUGAUAUGUAUACAGCGUUACCUCGCGGAUUCACUGUUUCGCAGAUUUUUUUUGUGUUUUGUGUUUUGUGUUUUUUUGUGUUUCUUUUUUUUUUUACAGUUUAUGAACGCUGUUACAGGCCGACCCUGGCCCUUUAAGAAGAAUUGCAUUGUGGGCAGCAGUAUGUUUUAACAAGGAUACAAAAGUGCUACAGUAGAGCGGAACGGCGCCAGGACGAAAAGGCAUGGUGACAGGAGUGAAAUAUGCGUGGGGGACAAUCAUUUCUUCUGUUCAUCAUUCGAACGAAGGUUUGAGCUUUUGAGUGUUUAAAAAAGAGAGAAAUGUCAGAAAAUGUUAUUACCUGUCUGAGAAAAGGGUAUAAAGUGCACGGUGAGGGGUUUUACAGCCUUAAAACACAUAUAAUAAUUGUAAUAAAAUGAAGUUGGCUACUUCGCGGAUUUCACUUAUUGCGAGCUAUUUUGGGACCCUAUCCCUACCCUAUCUAAAAGCGGGAACACUGUAUAUUCAUUUUAUUAAAUCAAAUUUGUUUACAUCACAUUAAUAAUAAUUCCUCCAAAAUAAUAGGGUUUGUUGUAUCAUGUAGUUUCUCUAAGUUUGUCCAUUUUCUGUGAGUGGCAUUUGUAGUCGUAUUACAAUUAGAGCUGAAUUACUAAAAAUGACAUUUGUUUCUCGCUCAACACUCAAAUAAUAGCACAUCCCUCCAUGACUGCACUGUACUGUCUGAUUGUGAAAUAGAGGACAAUGUUUUUUACAGCUCUUAUUCUGGGGCAAAUGGACCUGUGGAAAACACUUCCAAUGUUUGUUUAAGUAAAUGAAACAUUAGCUAAUUGCCAUGUGUCACAUGAACCAAUGGAUGCCUCAUUUUACAUCAUCAUGAUCUUGUUAUAACAUAAGCUUUUUGCAGCCAUCAAUCCUGAAUUGUCAGCCUGAUUGGCACGCAUGACUUCUCCAAAUCCCCAAAUUUGUUCAAGAAUUCAUGCACUCCCUCCCCCCGAAGCAGCACUGUGCGCUUCUAUUGGGUGGUUUACGGUAGGAGCACUUCCUGCCAGAGUAGGGCUGACCUAACAAAGAACAGGUUCAAUGUGCCUCCCUUCCCCCCGCUGAUGAAGGUCACAUGACCUCUCUAGACAGCACUGAGUAGCAAUGGUAAUAUGUAAGGGUGGGGGAAGGGUGCCUCUAGACAGUUAUGGAGAUAUUAGGGCCCAGGAAGGCGUGGAGGUGGAGGUGGAGGUGGAAGUGGGGGUGGGGGAGGGGAGACAGGGAAUAUCCAGUAUCUGUUGACAUAUUGGAUUUAGUUCCUUCUAUUUCCAGUGCAAUGAGAGCAGCCUGUUCGAGAUGAUAGAAAAUGAGGCUUGAGUGUUUAUGUGGAGAGUGAGAAGAGUGAGCUUUGUGUACUCAGUGUACAACAGCUCCCCUCCCCCACUGCUGCCAUCUCCACCGGCUAGACAUGGUUUCUGUGGCGCACUGUUAUGUCAUAGCGCGCACGCUUGUCUUCCAGACAAAGCAAAGCAAAAAUAGACAGAUUAUUUGACAUGAGACGAUUAAAAAAAGAUGUGCGGCAGUCCACAAAUGCACACUCCUUACAUACAGUACACUUUUGAAUUUGGAAUAUUUCCCUUUAGGAGGAAGCCACAUUCCUCCCCGUAUCACGUACAACAAACACACCAUAAUCAAAUUCCUUUGACAGUGCGGGGGGCAGGGGAAGAAGGCGGGAAAAAGCUGACAGAUGUCAGAGAUUCCAGGGUCGAGGACAGGGGUCAAGGGUUGGCGACCUGGCCAUACAGCGUGCUCUCUGCCUCCCCCGCCCUUUUCCUCCCAUCUCCAGUACAAUGGAAACCAAUGACUUUACAAUGUUUUCUUCUUACAGUGACUUUCAAACCACUCUGUCUGAAUUACCCCAGCACUUCGAUUCUAUGCUCUUCUUUAUUUCUGUGAAGCUAAAACCAAACAAAAAGAAUUCAUUUCAAAUACAUGCAGUGGAAACCUCGAACGUAAUGCUCCUGAAGUCGUACAGUUCUGAAUUAUUGAGAAGAAUAUGCCUCUAAAGUCGUGUUUUGCUGUUUACUGUAUUUGGCUGUUUUGUUUUUUUAAGAUGCUGCCACAAAAGGGUGCUGUCACAGAGAUCUCACACAGAGAUAGACGUCCUAAUUUUUUCCACAUGACUGUAUGCAUUUGUUUGUGUAAGCUAACUCUUCUACUGCUGAACUGUUGUGCACAAAAGGGUGGAAUUUUGUCAAAAAAAAUGAACCCCUGUUGUGUUGUGUUGUGUUAAGAUACGAUAAGAUAAGAUAAAGUAUGCCUUUAUGAGUCCCACAAGGGGAAAUUUUAGGUUUGGAUUAGCUUGAGAUUUCUCACACAGCUCAAUGCGUGCUAUACAAAACACCCACUUUAGGGUGUUUAGCUGAAUCAUGACAAAUUUUGGUACGCAUCUGUAGGGGACGGACAAGUGCAUGUGUGUAAAAUUUAGAUUACACUAGGUCCCCAACUUACGAACACCCGACUAGCGAACACUCACGGAUACGAACACAAGCCGACUGGUCUAUAUUUUAUUUUAUUUUGCCUUGUAGUCAGUCGCUCAAUCAGUAUUUAUACUGCUACUGUACAUGCUUGACCAGUUGAGGGCACUGUGACACUGCUAAUGCAGCCUUAGAGCAAAUGAGACCAACAGAGGAAGAGUUAGACGCUGGGGAGAUACAGUGUAAAGCUAAAUGGAAAGCUAAAUUGUACAACCCGGACAGAGCGUGUGAUGAAAGUUUAUGAAGAGUUAAUAGGCCUGCUUAAUUCUACACCACCCAUUGAACACUACCUCUUUUAGAAGAGUCUAACGACGACGACUUGUCCUUUUUUUCAAUAUCUCCUCCUCCAACUCCUCCACAACGAAGUAUGCUCGGCGACUCCUCUUCAAAGGGUCAUGGACGGGAACUAUAAGGUCAUCAUGCCGUCUUCCUGACGGCCCAUGCAGGCAAUGGCGUGGAGGGUCUGGGCGGGCCCACUGUCUGGAGGAGCCCUGAGGACCGCACACAGACAUAGAUGGCAGUAGGGGUCACCUGUCUGACGACCUGAGCAGCACUCCACGAGAAGGCAUGGCAAACACUGGGAAGUGGACACAGGAGAAACUGUGCACAUAUUGCAAAACAAAAAACAAACAAAAAACCCUCAUCCACGCAUUUGCUCUUAUUGUAAUAUAUAAGUACAUAUAUUUUAGAAAGUCAUUAUAUUCUGCAAACAUAAUUGUGCUCUUAAAGUGAAUGGCAAAAAAACACAACAUUUUAUAAUAUUAGGAGUCUUUUCUUGUAACAUUAAGGUUUUUGUUGUUGUUGUUAAAAUGACCACUUCUUUUCUCAUAAUGACUUUAUUGUUAUUAACUCAUUACUUAUUUACUCUUGUAAUAUUCGGACUUUCC